AUUCAUAUCGUCCGUUGGAUCUCGCCGACUCCCGGCCUCGGGAGUCGGCGAGGGCGGGCGGGCGGGCUUCAAGUAGGGCCUUCACCUUCAACUUCAAAUGUUCUGAUACAUCGCUAGGUUUUCGGUGAGUCCGAGCUUUGUUCGUCGAGGCGACAAGAGAGAUGUCUCGUACAAACCAAACUGCUCGCAAGUCUACUGGAGGGAAGGCUCCAAGGAAGCAGCUUGCCACUAAGGCUGCACAUAAGUCUGCCCCGAACUACCGGUGGAGUUAAAAAACCUCAUCGAUUCCGACCUGGGACUGUUGCUCUUCGUGAGAUCCGUAAGUACCAGAAAAGCACAGAGGUUCUGAUAAGGAAGUUGCCAUUCCAGAGGCUUGUCAGAGAAAUUACCCAGGACUUCUAGACUGAUCUCCGAUUCCAGAGUCAUGCUGUUCUUGCUUUGCAAGAGGCUGCUGAAGCAUACCUCGUGGGUCUUUUCGAGGAUGCCAACUUGUGUGCCAUCCAUGCCAAGCAUGUGACGAUCAUGCCCAAGGACAUUCAAUUGGCACAGAGGAUCCGUGGUGAAAGGGCUUGAGACGGUUGUUUAUGUAGAAUAGACAUGUUUUGCGAAAUCCAUGAUUUGGAACUGUCAUUAGUGAACGAUGUCGAGCAUAUACAUGUCCAGUUUGUCUAUUGCACUUUGGAACAAAGACUAGCUGUUAUUAGUACAAUGUCUAGGUUGAUUCUGGAUACGAACCUGUUAUUCAAUUGUCGUCAGUACAAUGUCUAGGUUGGUUUUGGAUACUGUCGUUCUAUCAACACUGAUUCUAUAAUUCUGAUUGAUGACUUUUUUUUA